rnacentral:tRNA from 1 species
GGGGCUGCUGGCGGGCGGGUAGGCAUCGCGGCCGGUUCCGGCCUGUUCCUGCCGGUUCCGGCCUGUUCCUGCCGGGCGCGGGCCCU